rnacentral:rRNA from 1 species
CUGUAGGCUGCAACUCGCCUACACGAAGUCGGAAUCGCUAGUAAUCGCGGAUCAGCAUGCCGCGGUGAAUACGUUCCCGGGCCUUGUACACACCGCCCGUCACACCAUGGGAGUUCGUAACGCCCAAAGUCGGUGGCCUAACCUUUAUGGAGGGAGCCGCCUAAGGCGGGACAGAUGACUGGGGUGAAGUCGUAACAAGGUACC